rnacentral:rRNA from 1 species
UACGGAGGGGGCAAGCGGUGUUCGGAAUUAUUGGGCGUAAAGCGCGUGUAGGCGGUCUUUUAAGUCUGAUGUGAAAGCCCCGGGCUCAACCUGGGAAGUGCCUUGGAAACUGGGAGACUUGAAUACGGGAGAGGGCAGUGGAAUUCCUAGUGUAGGAGUGAAAUCCGUAGAUAUUAGGAGGAACACCGGUGGCGAAGGCGGCUGCCUGGACCGAUAUUGACGCUGAGACGCGAAAGCGUGGGGAGCAAACAGG